GGCGAACGGGUGAGUAACACGUGAAGCAACCUGCCCCUGACUCUGGGAUAAGCGGUGGAAACGCCGUCUAAUACCGGAUACGACCCGCCACCUCAUGGUGGAGGGUGGAAAGUUUUUCGGUCAGGGAUGGGCUCGCGGCCUAUCAGCUUGUUGGUGGGGUAACGGCCUACCAAGGCGAUUACGGGUAGCCGGCCUGAGAGGGCGACCGGCCACACUGGGACUGAGACACGGCCCAGACUCCUGCGGGAGGCAGCAGUGGGGAAUAUUGCGCAAUGGGCGAAAGCCUGACGCAGCGACGCCGCGUGGGGGAUGACGGCCUUCGGGUUGUAAACCUCUUUUACCACCAACGCAGGCUCGAAGUUCUCUUCGGGUUGACGGUAGGUGGGGAAUAAGGACCGGCUAACUACGUGCCAGCAGCCGCGGUAAUACGUAGGGUCCGAGCGUUGUCCGCAAUUAUUGGGCGUAAAAAGCUCGUAAGCGGCGUGUCCCGUCUGCUGUGA
rnacentral:rRNA from 1 species